UGGCCCUAUUCGCCUAAACCAAACCAGUAAACCCUCUGUCUCUCAAUCGCUCAAAGACUCGGAACCUUAAAUGCAGGCGCAACCGCAGCCCUCUCUGCCUCCCUCUGUCUCUCAAUCGCAAUCGCGGGCUCGCAGCCCUCUCUCGAAGACUCGAACUGAUGGCUCGUCCUUAAUCGCGAACCGUAAAUCGCAGGUCGCCGCUCACCGCCUCACGCCGGAGUCGAGUCGCCGGUCGCCGGAGUCGCCGGAGUCGCCGUUCGCCGGAGUCCAUAAAUCCAGGUCUCCAGAAUUUCAAUAAUCAAAUAUUCAAGAUAAGUAGAUUGGCAGUAAGCAGUAUGGUUGUAUGGGCGUAUGGCUAUGACUUGUGAAUUUUGAAGACCAUGAAGUUCAUAUUGUUUGUUUAUUUAGUAUGUUUUGUGAAGACUAUGAAGUUCAUGCCCUUAUUUACUAAAAUUAAUAAAAGAAGCUGAGACUCCAAAUGAGACAGAGACGCUUCCCCAUUCAGCCUAAUUCAAUUCUGCGGAUUGAAGCUUCCGCCGACCGCUGACCACGACUGCCAACCACGACCAGCCUUGUCACAGCCGGCAGCCCACUCACCAGCGUUCAACAGCCACCGUAACAGCAGGUCAGGCAGCGUCUGAAAUUAGUGAUAACGCUGUUUUUCCUUUCCUUUUUUUUCCCCCAAAUUAUGUGUGUUUUUGCUUUGCUUUCCUGUUGCUUAUAAAAAAAUGUGGUUGCUAUUGUUAUGAUUUUGAUGUGCUUCACUGGUGAAAGCAGAAGAUAUUGAUGUUUUUUUAUGCCUUUUCAAAUUGCAUUCUUAUCUAACU